AACGAACGCUGGCGGCAUGCCUAACACAUGCAAGUCGAACGAGACCUUCGGGUCUAGUGGCGCACGGGUGCGUAACGCGUGGGAACCUGCCCUUAGGUUCGGAAUAACUCCCCGAAAGGGGUGCUAAUACCGGAUAAUGUCUUCGGACCAAAGAUUUAUCGCCUUUGGAUGGGCCCGCGUUGGAUUAGCUAGUUGGGAGGGUAAAAGCCUACCAAGGCGACGAUCCAUAGCUGGUCUGAGAGGAUGAUCAGCCACACUGGGACUGAGACACGGCCCAGACUCCUACGGGAGGCAGCAGUGGGGAAUAUUGGACAAUGGGCGAAAGCCUGAUCCAGCAAUGCCGCGUGAGUGAUGAAGGCCGUAGGGUUGUAAAGCUCUUUUACCCGGGAUGAUAAUGACAGUACCGGGAGAAUAAGCUCCGGCUAACUCCGUG
rnacentral:rRNA from 1 species